UACGAAGGGGGCUAGCGUUGUUCGGAAUUACUGGGCGUAAAGCGUGCGCAGGCGGCUUCUCAAGUCAGGGGUGAAAGCCCAGAGCUCAACUCUGGAAUUGCCCUUGAGACUGAGUGGCUUGAGUACGAGAGAGGUGAGUGGAAUUCCCAGUGUAGAGGUGAAAUUCGUAGAUAUUGGGAAGAACACCGGUGGCGAAGGCGGCUCACUGGCUCAUUACUGACGCUCAGGCGCGAUAGCUAGGGGAGCAAACAGG
rnacentral:rRNA from 1 species